rnacentral:rRNA from 1 species
GAUGAACGCUGGCGGCGUGCCUAAUACAUGCAAGUCGAGCGAACAGACGAGGAGCUUGCUCCUCUGACGUUAGCGGCGGACGGGUGAGUAACACGUGGAUAACCUACCUAUAAGACUGGGAUAACUUCGGGAAACCGGAGCUAAUACCGGAUAAUAUAUUGAACCGCAUGGUUCAAUAGUGAAAGACGGUUUUGCUGUCACUUAUAGAUGGAUCCGCGCCGCAUUAGCUAGUUGGUAAGGUAACGGCUUACCAAGGGAACGAUGCGUAGCCGACCUGAGAGGGUGAUCGGCCACACUGGAACUGAGCCACGGUCCAGACUCCUACGGGAGGCAGCAGUAGGGAAUCUUCCGCAAAGGGCGAAAGCCUGACGGAGCAACGCCGCGUGAGUGAUGAAGGUCUUCGGAUCGUAAAACUCUGUUAUUAGGGAAGAACAAAUGUGUAAGUAACUAUGCACGUCUUGACGGUACCUAAUCAGAAAGCCACGGCUAACUACGUG